CAAAAACAUGUCCUCUUGAACUAAUAUUUUGAGGUCUGGCCUGCUCACUGAAAAUUUUAAAGAGCCGCGGUAUUUUGACCGUGCAAAGGUAGCAUAAUCAUUAGUCUUUUAAUUAAGGGCUGGAAUGAAUGGCUUGACGAGAAAUUAACUGUCUCUUAAUAAUUUAUAUAAUUUAACUUUUCAGUCAAAAGGCUUAAAUUUUUCUUUAGGACGAGAAGACCCUAUAGAGCUUGACAUUUUAUUUAUAUAUAGUUUUUAGUUGGUCUUUCUAUAUAUGAUGAUAAUGUUUUGUUGGGGUGACAUGAAGAAUAAAUAAACUCUUCAUUAUAAAAUCAUUUAUUUAUGUUUAUUUUGAUCCAUAAUUUAUGAUCAUAAGAUUAAGUUACCUUAGGGAUAACAGCGUAAUUGUUUUUGAGAGCUCAUAUUAACAAAGCAGAUUGCGACCUCGAUGUUGGAUUAAGAAAAGUUUUGGGUGC
rnacentral:rRNA from 1 species